rnacentral:rRNA from 1 species
CCUACGGGGCGCUGCAGUGGGGAAUAUUGCACAAUGGGGGAAACCCUGAUGCAGCAACGCCGCGUGAGUGAAGAAGUAUUUCGGUAUGUAACGCUCUAUCAGCAGGGAAGAAGAUGACGGUAUCUGAGUCUGAAGCUCCGGCUAACUACGUGCCAGCAGCCGCGGGAAUACGUAGGGGGCAAGCGUUAUCCGGAUUUACUGGGUGUAAAGGGAGCGUAGACGGUGAGACAAGUCUGAAGUGAAAGCUCGGGGCUCAACCCCGGGACGGCUUUGGAAACUGGCUGACUGGAGUGCUGGAGAGGCAAGCGGAAGUCCGAGUGUAGCGGUGAAAUGCGUAGAUAUUAGGAAGAACACCAGUGGCGAAGGCGGCUUGCUGGACAGUAACUGACGUUGAGGCUCGAAAGCGUGGGGAGCAAACAGGAUUAGAUACCCGUGUAGUC